rnacentral:rRNA from 1 species
GACGGGUGAGUAACACGUGGGUAACCUGCCCAUAAGACUGGGAUAACUCCGGGAAACCGGGGCUAAUACCGGAUAACAUUUUGAACCGCAUGGUUCGAAAUUGAAAGGCGGCUUCGGCUGUCACUUAUGGAUGGACCCGCGUCGCAUUAGCUAGUUGGUGAGGUAACGGCUCACCAAGGCAACGAUGCGUAGCCGACCUGAGAGGGUGAUCGGCCACACUGGGACUGAGACACGGCCCAGACUCCUACGGGAGGCAGCAGUAGGGAAUCUUCCGCAAUGGACGAAAGUCUGACGGAGCAACGCCGCGUGAGUGAUGAAGGCUUUCGGGUCGUAAAACUCUGUUGUUAGGGAAGAACAAGUGCUAGUUGAAUAAGCUGGCACCUUGACGGUACCUAACCAGAAAGCCACGGCUAACUACGUGCCAGCAGCCGCGGUAAUACGUAGGUGGCAAGCGUUAUCCGGAAUUAUUGGGCGUAAAGCGCGCGCAGGUGGUUUCUUAAGUCUGAUGUGAAAGCCCACGGCUCAACCGUGGAGGGUCAUUGGAAACUGGGAGACUUGAGUGCAGAAGAGGAAAGUGGAAUUCCAUGUGUAGCGGUGAAAUGCGUAGAGAUAUGGAGGAACACCAGUGGGCGAAGGCGACUUUCUGGUCUGUAACCUGACACUGAGGCGCGAAAAGC